GAUAGCGUUUCCUGUUAAUAGCGACUAGAUUUCCUUAGAUUUUGGCUAACUGUGCGUAGUGUCUGUCUCGUUUCGCCCCCCCUGUGGCCCUGUCCCUCUCUCUGUAACGCAACGUGAAAGCCCAGCCCAUAUACGUCAGAUUAUUGGCAAAACCCAAAUUUCUAGCAAAAGAAGAAGGGGAAGCCCAUUGUAGAACAGUAGAAGGCAAUGGGGCUAGGUCAGGAACGCACACAUAGGUCAGGUCAUGGCUUCGUUGGUGGCUGCUACAAGAUCGACACAUGAUGCCCAGUCGCCCGCCGCCUGCUCUGCUUCUAUAGGGGCACCGUCUAGAGCAGUUCAUGAUCCAUCGACGUGGAGUUUCCAAUCUUAGUCUAGAAUUGCUGAAGGGGAAAUCCAGACCUUGCACGGCGGAUUGGCCGGCCGGCCGCAGAGUCAACAUGAGGGGCAACGAGGCAUGGAAAAUGGCGCAGCCAUUGCUUCUGGACGUGAUGGAGCUGAAAUGUUGCAUGAGACAUAGGAUGACUAUUUGCUUUGGUGUGCUACUAUGCCGAAAUGGUACAACAAGUUAAUGCUUUUGUGUUCUCCAGCUGAAGAAUCGGCUGCUGCAUUUUUUGUUGUCACCGAGUUUGUUGCGCAUCAGUGUGGUCGACAACAUUAAGAAAAUGUUAUCUGAAGAAACUUACUGGAUGCAUAUGCCUUGGUCUAGCUAUGUUUCCGGUGUAGCAAGAUGCUUUUGAAUACUCUAGUAUUAAUGCACGUUGGGUUAUGCUAUCUGUUGCUUAUAUGUACGUGGUUGUGCUUGGCAGUCCCUAUCUCUCCGGCCAUGACAAUUUCAUUAUCGCUUAUGUUUCCAAUGUAGCAAGAUGCUUUUGAAUACCCUAGCAUUAAUGUCUCUCCGACCCAAGUAUCAUCAAAAGGUGUGUUUCGAGUGUGCU